AUUGAACGCUGGCGGCAGGCCUAACACAUGCAAGUCGAACGAGUGGCGGACGGGUGAGUAAUGUCUGGGAAACUGCCUGAUGGAGGGGGAUAACUACUGGAAACGGUAGCUAAUACCGCAUCCCAUCGGAUGUGCCCCGAUGGGAUUGGCGAGUGGGGGGGGUAACGGCUCACCUAGGCGACGCUCCCUAGCUGGUCUGAGAGGAUGACCAGCCACACUGGAACUGAGGCACGGUCCAGACUCCUACGGGCGGCAGCAGGGGGGAAUAGUGCACAAUGGGCGCAAGCCUGAUGCAGCCAUGCCGCGUGUAUGAAGAAGGCCUUCGGGUUGUAAAGUACUUUCAGCGGGGAGGCGUUACCCGCAGAUGAAGCACCGGCUAACUCCGUGCCAGCAGCCGCGGUAAUUC
rnacentral:rRNA from 1 species